rnacentral:rRNA from 1 species
AACGAACGCUGGCGGCAGGCUUAACACAUGCAAGUCGAACGCCCCGCAAGGGGAGUGGCAGACGGGUGAGUAACGCGUGGGAACAUACCCUUUCCUGCGGAAUAGCUCCGGGAAACUGGAAUUAAUACCGCAUACGCCCUACGGGGGAAAGAUUUAUCGGGGAAGGAUUGGCCCGCGUUGGAUUAGCUAGUUGGUGGGGUAAGGGCCUACCAAGGCGACGAUCCAUAGCUGGUCUGAGAGGAUGAUCAGCCACAUUGGGACUGAGACACGGCCCAAACUCCUACGGGAGGCAGCAGUGGGGAAUAUUGGACAAUGGGCGCAAGCCUGAUCCAGCCAUGCCGCGUGAGUGAUGAAGGCCUUAGGGUUGUAAAGCUCUUUCACCGAUGAAGAUAAUGACGGUAGUCGGAGAAGAAGCCCCGGCUAACUUCGUG